rnacentral:rRNA from 1 species
CCCUUCAGUGCUGCAGCAAACGCAUUAAGCACUCCGCCUGGGGAGUACGACCGCAAGGUUGAAACUCAAAGGAAUUGACGGGGGCCCGCACAAGCGGUGGAGCAUGUGGUUUAAUUCGAAGCAACGCGAAGAACCUUACCAGGUCUUGACAUCCUUUGACCACUCUAGAGAUAGAGCUUUCCCUUCGGGGACAAAGUGACAGGUGGUGCAUGGUUGUCGUCAGCUCGUGUCGUGAGAUGUUGGGUUAAGUCCCGCAACGAGCGCAACCCUUAUUGUUAGUUGCCAUCAUUUAGUUGGGCACUCUAGCGAGACUGCCGGUGACAAACCGGAGGAAGGUGGGGAUGACGUCAAAUCAUCAUGCCCCUUAUGACCUGGGCUACACACGUGCUACAAUGGGAAGUACAACGAGUCGCUAGACCGCGAGGUCAUGCAAAUCUCUUAAAGCUUCUCUCAGUUCGGAUUGCAGGCUGCAACUCGCCUGCAUGAAGCCGGAAUCGCUAGUAAUCGCGGAUCAGCACGCCGCGGUGAAUACGUUCCCGGGCCUUGUACACACCGCCCGUCACACCACGAGAGUUUGUAACACCCGAAGUCGGUGAGGUAACCUUUUUGGAGCCAGCCGCCUAAGGUGGGAUAGAUGAUUGGGGUGAAGUCGUAACAAGGUAGCCGUAUCGGAAGGUGCGGCUG